GCUUACGGCCACACCUCCCUGAGCACGCCGAUCUCGUCUGAUCUCGGAAGCUAAGCAGGGUCGGGCCCGGUUAGUACUUUGGAUGGGAGUUACCGCCUGGGAAUACCAGGUGCUGUAAGCC
rnacentral:rRNA from 1 species